UACAGAGGUCUCGAGCGUUGUUCGGAUUCAUUGGGCGUAAAGGGUGCGUAGGCGGCUUGGUAAGUCGGGUGUGAAACCUCCAGGCUCAACCUGGAGACGCCACUCGAUACUGCCAUGGCUAGAGUCCGGUAGGGGCCCACGGAAUUCCUGGUGUAGCGGUGAAAUGCGCAGAUAUCAGGAGGAACACCGGUGGCGAAGGCGGUGGCUGGGCCGGAACUGACGCUGAGGAGCGAAAGCGUGGGGAGCGAACAGG
rnacentral:rRNA from 1 species